rnacentral:lncRNA from 1 species
CUCCCAGGGCUCUCUCCCCUGGCAGGCAUGAUAACAGCUCUGUGCAGUCAGGAGAAGAAAGGAACUGAUGCAUGCAGAGUACCUAGGAGGGCACUUGAUGCAUGCUUGGCGUUUGGUGAACCUUCCUGCCCCACUACCAUCUCUGAGCCAGAGGCUGGGGCAGAGUCGAUGGCUAAAGACUUCAUUAAAACAUCCUUUUCAGAAGGAAGGAAGAGAAAGAAAAAAGAAAGAAGGAAGGAAGGAAGGAAGGAAGGAAGGGAGGGAGGAAGGAAGGAAGGAAGGAAGGAAAGAAGGAAAGAAGGAAGGAAAUGGUUUUGCAGUCAGAAGACCCAGACCAAGUCACUUUACCGCUCCGGAGUCUUGUUUUCCUCAUCUCCCAGAGUGACUGUCAGAAUAUAUGCAAUACAUUCAGUAAUAGUCUAACAGUGCACGUGAAGUCUCUCACAGGUGGAUGUGCUAAAAACAAAGCAUGCUGUCUUCUCCACUUGCCCCUCCAGCUGGGCUCUCCUUUCUCUACCUGGGGAGGCAUCUGGGCUUCUCUGCUCUCUGGCUUCAACUUGGAAUUGGCUGAUGGAAGCGCUGGCGAAGAUUGGUGUCUAAAGGAAGAGAGAGGGGUUGGGUGUUUAUCACCCUGGCUCCCUUUCUCCUGCCGGGCUGAGUUGACUGUGUUGAGUUCAUUUACUUAAGGCCCCAGCUCCUUUCCUGCACUCCUUCCCCACUCCUUCAGGGCUGUGGCUAGUCCCUGGGUGCUCCUCAACCCUAACCCUGCCAAUCCCUUCAGAGGGCUCUCUGCUUCCUGCUGGAACCCCCCACUGCAGAAAGAAGGUCCCGAUAGCCUAAAGGAUAGACCAGCUUUGGGGAAGUCUUCAGAGGUGCAGGGGUGAGAGCCCAGCUGGGAGAGGAGUCUGCAGUGCUGCCUGUCCAGCCGAGCCCUGUGGAGAGCAGCCCUAGUUGAGGCCUUGCUGCCCCAAUCUUCCUCCUGAAUUUUUCAAGAUCAAGGUCUUGUCUAGCCAACUUUGUUCUACCAGCCCAGGUGUCCAGGCUCUAGGACCCUGACUCACACUAGUAAACUCAUCCUGGACCAACUGAUAUGCCCCAAACUAGCAUACUCAUUGAUCCUGAGAAAGAUACAGGCUGAGUAGCAGGAAUCCUGAGGUCAACUGGUCAGGAGCUUCUCUUUCAGGAAUCAGUAGUAUUAUUAUUAAUAAUAACAGUGACCAGAUACUGAGUGCCUACUAUGUGUCUAGAAACUAGGACUUUCAUUCCUUCAUUCAGCAAAUAUUUAUGAAGGGUCUACUAGGAGUUCCCUGGUAGCUCAGUGGGUUAAGGAUCUGAUGUCACUGCUGUGGCUCGAGUUCGAUCCCUGGCCCAGGAACUUCUGUAUGCCACAGAUGCAGCCCAAUAAAAAGGGGGUCUACUAUAUGCCA